rnacentral:lncRNA from 12 species
UGAUUCUGCAACAAGUGCAAAUGGCCCUCCCUGGCUUUUGUCAAGUUUUCUUCAAAGGCUGCCUUAGGAAAUGCUGCCUUCUGUGCUCCAUCCACCUCAGUCCUAACCCCCAAAUAAUAACUGCUUAUGGAGAGGACAAUUCUUGGAGCAUCCAGGAGUGCUUAGGGAGAAAGGGGAACAGCCAUUUGCAUUCCAAGAAGACUAGAAUCUACUAUGACAUGUAAGCACUCCCAGAGAAUUGUCGGAAAUACUUGGAAAAUGACUAUUUUCCUGUUCACUGUUGCGCCCAAGAUUGCGAAUCUGAGAAA